rnacentral:rRNA from 1 species
GACGAACGCUGGCGGCGUGCCUAACACAUGCAAGUCGAGCGGAGCGGCGGACGGGUGAGUAAUGCCUAGGAAUCUGCCUGGUAGUGGGGGAUAACGUCCGGAAGCGGGCGCUAAUCCCGCAUACUAUCAGAUCAGCCUCGGUCGGAUAAGCUAGUUGGAGGGGUAAAGGCCUACCAAGGCGACGAUCCGUAGCUGGUCUGAGAGGAUGAUCCGUCACACUGGAACUGAGACACGGUCCAGACGCCUACGGGAGGCAGCAGUGGGGAAUAUUGGACAAUGGGCGAAAGCCUGACCCAGCCAUGCCGCGUGUGUGAAGAAGGUCUUCGGAUGGUAAAGCACUGUAAGUUGGGAGGCGUUACCAACAGAAUAAGCAACGGCUAACUUCGUGCCAGCAGCCGCGGUAAUUC